rnacentral:rRNA from 1 species
CGGGUGAGUAAUACAUAAGUAACCUGCCCUAGACAGGGGGAUAACUAUUGGAAACGAUAGCUAAGACCGCAUAGGUACGGACACUGCAUGGUGACCGUAUUAAAAGUGCCUCAAAGCACUGGUAGAGGAUGGACUUAUGGCGCAUUAGCUGGUUGGCGGGGUAACGGCCCACCAAGGCGACGAUGCGUAGCCGACCUGAGAGGGUGACCGGCCACAUGGGACUGAGACACGGCCCAA